AGAUUAUUAGUUUUAAAAAACAUUAAAUUGCAAAUUUAAAAUUUUAAUGAAUAAUUAAAUAAUCUU
rnacentral:tRNA from 1 species